AUUAUUGUUUUUAUCAGCUUCAUAGCCGAAUUUGAAAAUUAUUCAUCUACUUGAUGAGUAGAAGUUUUCUAUUAGUGAAGGAAUUCAAUUAAAUCAUUAAAAUUGAAAUGUCUAAGGAAGACAAGGAGUCGUUAGAGGACAUUCACUUUUUAUCUCAGAAUUUAUUUGCAGGAGUAGAGGAAGAUAUCCACACCCUUUUAAAUAGGGUGAACAAUGCCUUUGACGAAUAUGAAGAGCUUCGUUUUUCUCAUUUCGUGGAGAUUUGGAAGGAAAUGAAAUUUGAAUAUAUAUUUCGUGGUAGAGAGACCUUCAGAGAAACCUAUGAACUCACUAUGGGCAUUUUACGAAUGGUCAAAGAUAAAAUCCUAUCGCCGGACGUGAACCUUGGAUAUCGAGCUGCAGCUAUUUAUUCUCUCUAUGCCUUAUACUUCAAACAACCCCCCAUGAUUAAUGUUCACAUCAGGUUGACUCUUUCGGAUGUGAAGGAAAUUAUGGCGGUUUUUCAUCACUUUCAUGAAGGACAACAUUGGGACAUUAUCUAUUGCUGGAAUCGACUCAUGUCGGCUAACGCCUUUCAUUUCUCAGGUGCCUCUCGACUCAUGGGAAUUGAAGCAAUCAAUAGCUUCUUUAUCAACAAAGAUCCUUCGUCUGACUAUGUGCCAUUUACAAAUCCCUUCAAAUCUCAUGAAUUUAAGUCACAGUUAAGUGAGUUGAGUAGUCUUCAAAGUCAAUAUAUCUCUAUGAAAAAGUCUCUCAUGUCAGAGAAGCAGGAUCCUUCGUUAUCCCUACUGGAUGAAGAAUUUGCGACAAAAAUGUGUUCAAUCGUUGAGUCUGCUUUUUCCUAUGAAUCCAAGGAUACUCUGAGGAAAUCAGAGGAAAUCGGUGAUCGAAGGAAGAAAAUCAUUGACAAAUACUUUUCAAAUACUGGGGGCAGUUAUCGACAAAAAGAGAUAGAGGUUUAGUAUUGUCUUAUUACAAUUGACAACUAUCACAUUUAAUCUCCUUUGCCUUCUUCUGAACAACUCAACUUCCAGUUAGUACGCACAGCAUCUUCCUGAAUUAUUGGCUGCCGUCAGGGAGUUCUUGAUGAGUCUUGAAGCUGCAUUGGCCUCCUCCCUGCCCAUACCCUGCAUUGCAAAGUCAAUGGGAUUAUGAUCAGUUGAAGAGGGAGACUAAAAUGCUUUGUCCCGAAAGUCAUCAAAACAGUCUUUGUACAGUUCUUACACUUUGCAUUUUGGGGAAGAUACGUCUCUACGACUCAAAGAAUCACAUCUGACGUGGGCAACGAAAUCUCUUAAUUAAAUGAUGUUAGAGUUUAUAGGACUUUAAUUCUGGACCAUCUUAGUUUUAAACAUCCCGGUAAAUAGAUUACUGCUCAAAUAACUUUUACAAUUAUUUACAACGUUUCAAGUAUAUUUAAAUAAAUAUUUAGAGUGAAAUUAGUCCAUAUGAACAAGUCAUAACAGUAUCCAUCAAAUAUAAAAUAAUACUUAUAUUAAUAAUUAA
rnacentral:misc_RNA from 1 species